UAACGCGUUAAGUAGACCGCCUGGGGAGUACGGUCGCAAGAUUAAAACUCAAAUGAAUUGACGGGGGCCCGCACAAGCGGUGGAGCAUGUGGUUUAAUUCGAUGCAACGCGAAGAACCUUACCUACUCUUGACAUCCAGAGAACUUUCCAGAGAUGGAUUGGUGCCUUCGGGAACUCUGAGACAGGUGCUGCAUGGCUGUCGUCAGCUCGUGUUGUGAAAUGUUGGGUUAAGUCCCGCAACGAGCGCAACCCUUAUCCUUGUUUGCCAGCGAGUAAUGUCGGGAACUCCAGGGAGACUGCCGGUGAUAAACCGGAGGAAGGUGGGGACGACGUCAAGUCAUCAUGGCCCUUACGAGUAGGGCUACACACGUGCUACAAUGGCGCAUACAGAGGGCGGCCAACUUGCGAAAGUGAGCGAAUCCCAAAAAGUGCGUCGUAGUCCGGAUUGGAGUCUGCAACUCGACUCCAUGAAGUCGGAAUCGCUAGUAAUCGUGGAUCAGAAUGCCACGGUGAAUACGUUCCCGGGCCUUGUACACACCGCCCGUCACACCAUGGGAGUGGGCUGCAAAAGAAGUAGGUAGUUUAACCUUCGGGGGGACGCUUACCACUUUGUGGUUCAUGACUGGGGUGAAGUCGUAACAAGGUAGCGCUAGGGGAACCUGGCGCUGGAUCACCUCCUUA
rnacentral:rRNA from 1 species